AGGAUAUAUGUUCAGUUGUACAAGAAUUGUGUCAAGUUGGUGCACUAACGAAUGGCAAGAUGAGAGAGUACAUUGAUGUUGCGCAAGAGUGCAAAAGAUAUCUGAAAACAGAUUAUAAGGUACACAUUGCUGAGUCAUCAACUGUUCCUGAUCACUGUCGAGAGUUUGCCCUUAGUGACGAAUCAGGACCGUUUGGCAGCAAAUGUGAACACAAACAUGAUAUGGUGUGCAUUAACUGUGAACAAAUUCAUGAAUUACUUUCAUCUAUCAGCAGCCUAAUUUCAGAAAGUAACUUGAAAGAAAAA